CUCUCUCUCUCUCUUUUCUCUCAUCUCUUCCUCUCACCCCACUCUCUGUUUUGUUCUCUGUGAUUUCUCUAUCUCGGUCCAUCUCACUCAGAUCGGCGUGGAGGGUGUGGGGUUUGUGGAGAUCGACGUGGUGGUGGGUUUGGGCUUAUGGGGAUCGGCGUUGUGGUGGGUCUGGAUCGGCGUGGAUCGGCACGGAGAAGGGUGUGGGUUUGUGGAGAUCGGCAUGGAGGAGGGUGUGGAGCAGUGGACAACGGCGUUUAUGGUGGACAUCGGCGUCUGUGGUGGAAAGUGGCGUAGUUUCUUAAUUGAUUUAUCCUUGCAGUGAUCUAUUGUAUUCUAGAAAAUAUUGAUAGCUAAGUGCUGCAUGGGAGAAGCAGCAAAAGGAAAUUGAACAAACAAAAGACUUAAUAAACAGGUUAGGUGCUGGAGCAAAUCCCGGACGUGCCUCUUCUGCUGAAAAGAAGCUGGAGAGACUUCAAGAAGAGGAUUUAGUAGAGAAGCCAUUUCAAAGGAAACAGAUGAAAAUUAGGUUCCCUGAGCGUGGAAGAGGUGGAAGAUCUGUUGUAACAAUUAAUAACUUCAAAUUGGCUUUGGUGAUAAGUUGUGUGGCUGGUGCUCUUCAACAAGGCAAAUCUUACAAUUGAAAGGGGAGAAAAAAUUGCCAUAAAUGGCUCAAAUGGAUGUGGAAAGAGCACUUUGCUGAAAAUGAUAAUGGGUUUAGAGAAGCCAAGAGGGGGGGAAGUUUUGCUUGGGGAGCAUAAUGUCCUACCAAACUAUUUUGAGCAGAAUCAGGCUGAGGCAUUUGAUUUGAAUAAAACAGUGCUUGAGACAGUAGGAGAAGCUGCAGAGGACUGGAGGAGUGAUGACAUAAAGGGACUCCUUGGGUGUUGUAAUUUUUAAGCUGAUAUGCUUGAAAGAAUGGUUUCUCUGUUGAGUGGUGGUGAGAAGGGGUGGCAAAAUCCGACACGACCCGCGAACCCGACACGGCUAACCUGUUUAUAAACAGGUCAUGGGUUGCGGCUAAACGGGUUCGGGUCAAAUUCAGGUUGACACAGCUGACCUGUUUAUUAAACGGAUCGUGUUCGUGUUCAACCUAUUGAACUCGUUUGACCGGAUUAGCUUAUAAAGGUAAUUUUACAAUUUUACCCUUAAAACCUAGGUAUAUAAGCUUAGCUAUGGUUUAUUCUCCUGCUCAAAACCAGACCUCAUGCCUCUCUGGACCUUGUGUCUCUUCAUUUUCAUCAACCGUCAAUACUCUGUCUCCUCCAACUCUUCUUCUUCUCUUCAAAACUCUAGCUGAUCCUACAGAUACAGAUUCUACAAUCUACACUAUAAAAUCAAAACCCUAGCCACCUCGUGUCUCUUAACCCUCUACUCUCUCUUCCCUUCAAAUCCCUAGCCAACCCCUCUAAUAUCUCUUCCCCUCAAAACCGGGGCUGCCCUCUCUACUCUCUAUUCUCCUUCACGACUUCACAGCUUCACCAGUUAUUUUUCUUCAGCUUUCAACCACCGAAUCCCCUAGCAAGGUAUACAUGUUAUAUAUUUUUGUUUUGUUUUCUUAUGAAAUUUUCAGUAAUUGUAGAUUUUGUUUAUUGUGUUAACAGUUAAUCAUUAUCAGUUUGUAUUCUUUAUGCACAAAGGCUGGGAAAGAGUCUUCAGAAAUAAAAACUUGAAGUUUGGUGCAGUGGACUCUCUGUCCUUGAAAAUGCAGCAAUUCCUUUCACCACAAAUGCACAAAGGCUGGGAAAGCUAAGAACUUGCACAAUCACAAUUGGAAGAGCUCACUGAAGAUAUAAUGAACAUGAAUAUCAAUAAGGAUGAGCACAUGGAAGAAACCUCUUCAAUGGGACCCUCAAUCUCUUCUAAUCCAGUUUCUUAAUCAGUGAUGUCCUUUCCUUUUUGAUGUGGCACUUGGAUGGUUGGACUUAGAUUUUGCCAUCAUGGAAAUAUUGAUCUGCCAUGUAAUUAUUUUGGUUUGUCUUUUAGUUUUUGAUAUGGCACUUGGAUGCCAUGUAAUAAUCUUGGUUUUUUAUUAUGGAACUUUGACAUAUUAUUGAA